UGCGCCCCGGCUCGUGACUGCGCGCGCGCGCCCGUCACGCCGCGCCCGCGCGCACUAUUUUAUCGCAUUAAUUAUUUGGAAAAGGAUUCCCGGGCCCGGCAUUCUUGCGGCCAUGUCAGUUGUGGGAACGUCGUGGGGAUUAUGUAGCAAAGAGCCAUGUGUCCGCCUUCAGCACCAGUCAACACGCCCGUAGAUAAUCGUUGACUACUCGUAAACCUGCCAAACAUGCAGCUGGAUGCAACGCCGAAAUCGAUUAGCGUCGACCGGCUAGGGGGGAGGGAGGUUAGACGUGGGGGUAGCCCCGAACCGCCGACGUCAUCGCCCCGUCAACUGAACAAUACUAAGCAGACGACGUUACACCGUACCCCGAUACGAAACGUGGAAAAUAAAAGUCAAUGCACUGGUGUACCUAUAGGAUAUCAUAGUUUCUCUGUGGAUUAGCUGUCUUCGAUACACGAAAUGUGUUUGUCGCUUGCUUCGAAUAUACCUAUUAUAUAAGUACACGUAUUUAAUUAAAGGUACGAUAGUAAUAGUAAAAGAC